rnacentral:rRNA from 1 species
UACAGAGGGUGCAAGCGUUAAUCGGAAUUACUGGGCGUAAAGCGUGCGUAGACGGUUAUGUAAGUCGGGUGUGAAAGCCCCGGGCUCAACCUGGGAAUUGCAUUCGAGACUGCAUAGCUAGGGUGCGGAAGAGGGAAGCGGAAUUUCCGGUGUAGCGGUGAAAUGCGUAGAUAUCGUGAGGAACACCAGAGGCGAAGGCGGUUUCCUGGACAGUUACUGACGCUCAGGCACGAAAGCAUGGGGAGCAAAAGGG